UUGUAGGGGUGACGGCGUGCCUUUUGAAGAAUGAGCCUGCGAGUUAGUGCUCUGUGGCGAGGUUAACCCGUGUGGGGCAGCCGUAGCGAAAGCGAGUCCGAAUAGGGCGAUUCAGUCGCAGGGUCUAGACCCGAAGCGAAGUGAUCUAUCCAUGGCCAGGUUGAAGCGACGGUAAGACGUCGUGGAGGACCGAACCCACUUCAGUUGAAAAUGGAGGGGAUGAGCUGUGGAUAGGGGUGAAAGGCCAAUCAAACUUCGUGAUAGCUGGUUCUCUCCGAAAUGCAUUUAGGUGCAGCGUUGCGUGUUUCUUGCCGGAGGUAGAGCUACUGGAUGGCCGAUGGGGCCCAAAAGCUUACUGACGUCAGCCAAACUCCGAAUGCCGGUAAGUGAGAGCGCAGCAGUGAGACUGUGGGGGAUAAGCUUCAUAGUCGAGAGGGAAACAACCCAGACCACCAACUAAGGUCCCUAAGCGCGUGCUAAGUGGGAAAGGAUGUGGAGUUGCACAGACAACCAGGAGGUUGGCUUAGAAGCAGCCACCCUUGAAAGAGUGCGUAAUAGCUCACUGGUCAAGUGAUUCCGCGCCGACAAUGUAACGGGGCUCAAGCACGCCACCGAAGUUGUGGCAUUGACAUUAGUGGUAGGCCUUCGUGGUCCAGCCGUGUUGAUGGGUAGGAGAGCGUCGUGUGGCGAGUGAAGCGGCGGUGUGAACCAGCCGUGGAUGCCACACGAGUGAGAAUGCAGGCAUGAGUAGCGAAAGACGGGUGAGAAACCCGUCCUCCGGAAGACCAAGGGUUCCAGGGUCAAGCUAAUCUUCCCUGGGUAAGUCGGGACCUAAGGCGAGGCCGACAGGCGUAGUCGAUGGACAACGGGUUGAUAUUCCCGUACCGGCGAAGAACCGCCCAAGACAAUCCAGUAGUGCUAAGUAUCUGAAUCCCUUUGAUGGAUCCCUUCGGGGUGAAGCGUUGGGCCUAGCGUACGACCCCGUGCUGGUGCGUUUAGCGUAUUAACAGGUGUGACGCAGGAAGGUAGCCGAGCCGGGCGAUGGUUG
rnacentral:rRNA from 1 species